rnacentral:rRNA from 1 species
GUUGGUGAGGUAACGGCUCACCAAGGCGACGAUCCCUAGCUGGUCUGAGAGGAUGACCAGCCACACUGGAACUGAGACACGGUCCAGACUCCUACGGGAGGCAGCAGUGGGGAAUAUUGCACAAUGGGCGCAAGCCUGAUGCAGCCAUGCCGCGUGUAUGAAGAAGGCCUUCGGGUUGUAAAGUACUUUCAGCGGGGAGGAAGGUGUUGUGGUUAAUAACCACAGCAAUUGACGUUACCCGCAGAAGAAGCACCGGCUAACUCCGUGCCAGCAGCCGCGGUAAUACGGAGGGUGCAAGCGUUAAUCGGAAUUACUGGGCGUAAAGCGCACGCAGGCGGUCUGUCAAGUCGGAUGUGAAAUCCCCGGGCUCAACCUGGGAACUGCAUUCGAAACUGGCAGGCUUGAGUCUUGUAGAGGGGGGUAGAAUUCCAGGUGUAGCGGUGAAAUGCGUAGAGAUCUGGAGGAAUACCGGUGGCGAAGGCGGCC